UACGGAGGGUGCGAGCGUUGUCCGGAAUCACUGGGCGUAAAGGGCGCGUAGGCGGCUCAUGAAGGCUGUGGUGAAAGUCCGGGGCUCAACCUCGGAUCGGCCGUGGCGACUCGUGGGCUGGAGCACUGUAGAGGCGGGUGGAAUUCCGGGUGUAGCGGUGGAAUGCGUAGAGAUCCGGAAGAACACCAGUGGCGAAGGCGGCCCGCUGGGCAGUUGCUGACACUGAGGCGCGACAGCGUGGGGAGCAAACAGG
rnacentral:rRNA from 1 species